CUUCAUUCUUCUCUGAUUCUCUCGUCUUCCCACGCACGGACGAACGGUCACAACUCACAACCCACACUCCCACAUGCCACAGCACUCCAAGCAGGCGGCCAUGGAGUUGUUCCUUCUCCCUUCCCGUGCCACCGUCUCCCGACGGCUCCAGCCAACCGCCCCACUCCGCCGCGCCAGCGCGGCCACCUUCCGGCCGUCGGCCAGCUCCGGCAACGUCGAGGCCACCACCGGCGCCACGGCGACGACGUCGGCAGCCAAGACCGGCCAAGAAUGGCGCGCGGGCGGCCGUCAGGGCCAGGCGCGGUUCGGGCUCGACCUGGACCUGUCCGAGGAGAUGAGGCGUGAUAUGAUGUGGCGGAUGCUAGCCUUCCCCGCGGCGGCGGUUGCGGCGGAGGCCGCUCUCCUGUGGGCGCUCAACAGCGGCGUCGACGCGCCCGCGUGGGCCGGCAAGGCGGGCUCGGCCGUGCUGUUCGCUGCGGGGCUGCUCGGGUCCCAGUACGGGUUCUUCUCCUCGAGGUGGGACGCCGCGGAGACGGGGUCGGUGGUGGGGUGGAAGCUCGCCGCCCGGCACUGGAACGCCCUAUCCAUGGCCAGGGGUUCGUCCAUGGAAGAGGAAGAUGAGGAGGACGACGAGGAGUGGGAGUGGGUGUACGAGGAAGACGAGGAAGAAACUGACGAUUAGUUGGGUAGAUACCGUCUGUGAUAGCAAGGUAAUUGGUUGGAUUAAACCUUGUACUAAAAUGCAUGUGACAGUGCCCGGUUUGGUUAAACCACAUGCAGUAAAUAGAAUGGUUACAUGUAGGCGUAGAACUACCACUUCGUUCUUUUCCUGUCAUUUCUGUAUCGACUCCUGUGAAUAUAGUCACCAUACUUUUCUUUUUCUUACAACGUUCACAAUUGACAUAUAUAGGGAAUAUUUGACAAUCUGUAAGAUGAACAGAUUCUAACCCUCUUCUUAAAAUUUAAAUUGCAGUCAUUUCUAAUAUCUUUCAGUUUCUGUUCUCUGCCCACAUGCUAAGGUAUUGUUUGUUUGGGCUUCAGUUUCGACAGAAUCAGUUAGGGAUUCGCUGUGUUGGCAAAGCCGGUUCGACAUAAUCCCCUUUGGCGUUGAAGUAAACUAGGACGUGCUUCAGCCCAAUAUCUGAAAAUAGCCCGAAUCAGAUUUUGGCUGGUUUUUCAAUGACUGAUUGUUUGUUUCAGAUUCAGCCUUCUCAAAGCUGUAUAUUGUUUCUAAAGCUGUAUACUCUGUAGGCUGUCUUUCAAAAAAACUACUCUGUAGGCUGUAGCAGUCUUGACCAACAUAAAUAGUACAUGGUAAUGUGGUGCAUCAUACUUUUUUGACGAGUCAUGUAUACGUACG
rnacentral:rRNA from 1 species